AUGAUGAUGUUACUGACUCUACUGCUGACCAUCCUGGAGCUCCUGGUUCAGGGUUCCUCAGCAGAUAUCACCCUCGCUCAGACUCCAAGAGCUCAGGCUGUUGUUCCAGGACAGACAGUCUCCAUCAAAUGUAAAGCAAGUUCAGGUGUUAGCUACCAUGUACAGUGGUACCUUCAAAAACCCGGAGGUGCUCCCAAGCUCCUAAUUUAUGAUGCUAGCUCACGUUGGACUGGAGUUUCUGAUCGCUUUAGUGGUAGUUAUUCAGGAACCGAUUUCACUUUGACCAUCAGCAGAGUUCAAGCUGAAGAUGCAGGAGUUUAUUACUGUCAGCACGAUUAUAGCACACCGUUCACACAGUGA